AUGAUGACAGAUAUAAAAGCGGUAACACAUAGGAUAAAUACUAUAAACAAAGAGCACGAAAAACACACAAAAGUGAAAACAAUAACACAAACAAAAUCACAAACAAUGCUUAUACACUCGUAAUGCCAAACAAAGCCGAUACGACUCCAAAAAUAGCUCGAAUUCUAAAAACUUGUCAUUGGUCCCCAGCAGAGUCGCCAG
rnacentral:lncRNA from 1 species